GCAAACUUGGUCAUUUAGAGGAAGUAAAAGUCGUAACAAGGUUUCCGUAGGUGAACCUGCGGAAGGAUCAUUGAUGAACUUCGAGGCGUCGCCCGCUCUGUGCUGGCCCCCCCGGGGGCAUGUGCACGUCGGGAGGCGUCCAUCUCACACACACACCCGUGCAUCACGAGGGGAGAGACGAGCUCAGAGGGUCUGCCGGCGCGGUCCGGCUCUCCCGGGAGCGAGGCUCGCUCCUCUAACCUUUACAAACACACCUUUUGUACGUCUGGAACGCGUCUUUUGAUAAAGAGAAUACAACUUUCAACAACGGAUCUCUUGGCUCUCGCAUCGAUGAAGAACGCAGC
rnacentral:misc_RNA from 1 species